GAAAAGCUACUACUAGGUGAGACGCAGCAAGUCUCAUAUCUCACCAGGAGGGGAGGCUGCCUUCCCUCCCCUCCCCUCAGGGAGAAAACUAAAGCCUAAAAGAAGGAAUGGACUGCCCCUGUGCAGCCAGGAGGGACUGUUUUACCUCAAGCCCAUCUCGCCAAGGCUAAACAACAGCUGAGGUUGAAAAUCUGCCACAUAUGUGAAUAUGUAGGAAUGCAUCUUAAAAAGUCUUCUCAGUGGAAAUAUUUGCAAUGAUUAUUAAACCAGAGACUUGGAUCCCUGUAACUGUACCCCCAACUGAGAGCCACAUACUCACUGUAAAGCACUCCAGUUGCACAAAGUAUAGUAAUUCAAACAUUGUUUUUCAUCCCAUGUCAAGUAACUGUUCUCAAACCUGAUUUGUUGACUGAAGCAUUGUGAAUGGGCAGGAGGGGGAUUCAAAUCAUUCUCCUAUUGACCUGUGGUGCUGUAAAUCAAACUCAGUUUUUCAAAAGACUUGAACAAAUCUAAACCCAUUUGACUCUAAUGUAAACAUUAGAAAUGAAUGUCAAUCCCUGAAAAUGUUUAGUCUUUUAAUUUUGUAUCCAAAAUACAAUUUUAAUGAUUUGAAAAAAAAUAGGUGCUAAUAUCCAAUUCACAGCAAAACUUUUUUAUGAUGCUGUUGACUUUAAAUCAGAUUUUUUUCAAAGCUUUCUUUUCUGACUGAAGACCACUAAAUACAAUGCAUUAAAGCAUGAUAAUUCCUGUAGCAGACUGAAGUUGUGAUAGCGGUUCCAAGAGCUAGAGGUGCUUGUCCAAUUAUUUAAAGCAUGUACACUAUGGGUCAAGCUGUAUAUGGUGUUCAUAUCUAUGCAUUUUAUAACCGAGGCCAGUUGUCACAAAUGUAAAUGUCCUCUUCUCAUUAGGGGGGGAAAACACAGAGUGAUGUAAGUUUAUAAAAUGCCCAAUAUUUAACAGAUUUGCAAUGUUUGGGAUUAUGUUUAGGUUCAUGCAAUUAAGGAUUUAGGUAUGGUUGUAUUGCAUUGAAAACUAAUCAAAAUAUUUAUUUUAAAAUACUGUAUCUUCCUUUUUAAUUAAAUACAAUGCAUGAAGGACUA